rnacentral:rRNA from 1 species
CCUGAGAAACCCAAAAGAUCGAAUGGGGAGAUUCAUCGUCAGCGAUUUUGGUACGUGUGCGGUUCGCGAUGCCGGAGACUUCGGUCUCACGGUACGCGUCCGCAUGUUUUUUAUUGCCAUUAUCGUCGGCGUGCACUUCUCCCCUAGUAGGACGUCGCGACCCGUUGGGUGUCGGUCUACGGCCCGGUGGGUAGCCUGUCUCGUGUGCGCCUCACGGCGUUACGCGGUUCAGACCCCCGGUUGCCCGACCGGCUGCCCGGCGGUACUCGCACGGUAUCUGGCCGCAAAUAUUCGAACUGCGUCCGGCCCGUCGCAAGCGAGGCAAGUGUUCCCGGCUGUACGGAUCUAAUGCCGUCACCGGGCCUUGCCAGCUGUUGGCUGACGGUGUCCUAGGACAGGCUAACAAUUAUUAUGAUACCGGUCGGCGACGCUACUGCUUUUGGUACUUUCAGGA